CUGAACAAUCGAUAUCAUUGUUCAUCCCAGAAGUGUGCAACAGUUUGCUAAUUUAUCUUCGCAAAUAUGUAAAGCUUCCGUCAACACAGCAAGAAUGGCUUACGGUGUCGGAUGCAUUCAAUGCCAAAUGGAAAUUUCCCCAUGCUAUUGGUGCCAUCGAUGGAAAGCAUGUUGCCAUAAAAGCUCCUGCCAAAAGUGGAACAGAAUAUUACAACUACAAACAGUUUUUCAGCAUUGUGUUGUUGACAGUUGCAGAUGCUGACUGCAAUUUUAUGUUUGUUGACAUUGGGUGCAAGGGUCGCAUAUCAGACAGUGGAAUUUUAAGGACCUCUCGUCUUUAUGGUAUGCUUGGAAGAAAGGAAUUAAAUAUCCCAGAGGCGGAACCGUUACAUCAAAAUUCAUCCAUCAGAGUCCCGUAUAUGCUCUUGGGAGACAAAGCAUUUGCGUUAACGGACUACUGUAUGCGACCUUUCGGUGGUGUUACAGAGAGUGGUUCAAUUGAACGUCUUUUUAACGAACGUCAUUCUCUGGCACGAAGGAUUGUUGAAAUGGCAUUUGGGAUACUCAGUGCAAGGUUUAGAGUUCUUCGGAAAACUAUGGAACUAAAUCCAGAAAUGGCCAGCUUGAUAG